rnacentral:rRNA from 1 species
UGGGGAAUAUUGGACAAUGGGCGCAAGCCUGAUCCAGCCAUGCCGCGUGAGUGAUGAAGGCCCUAGGGUUGUAAAGCCCUUUCACCGGUGAAGAUAAUGACGGUAACCGGAGAAGAAGCCCCGGCUAACUUCGUGCCAGCAGCCGCGGUAAUACGAAGGGGGCUAGCGUUGUUCGGAUUUACUGGGCGUAAAGCGCACGUAGGCGGCCUUUUAAGUCAGGGGUGAAAUCCCGGGGCUCAACCCCGGAACUGCCUUUGAUACUGGAAGCCUUGAGUAUGGUGGAGGUGAGUGGAAUUCCGAGUGUAGAGGGGAAAUUCGUAGAUAUUCGGAGGAACACCAGUGGCGAAGGCGGCUCACUGGACCGUUACUGACGCUGAGGUGCGAAAGCGUGGGGAGCAAACAGG